CCCGCCGGGGAAGGGGAAGGGCAAGGGGCAGGGGCAGGGGCAGGAGCAGGGCUGGGGGCGCCCCCAUCCGCCCGCCUUGCGCGGGGGUCGGCCCCACCGAUCGGCCGGCCGGGGCCUGGGCUUGGGGACCCCGGGUGUCGCGCCCCACCAGCCCGUUCCGACGGCCGCUGGGGGCGGGUUGGUGGCGGCCGCCAAGGAUGGGACGGGUCGCGCCGCCUCGGAAGCGGCUACGGGUCCCUGAGGCGGCGCCGGGAAGGUGGGGCGCGCCCGCAUCGUCCCCUCUGGUCGCGCCCCUGCCGGUGACACUGGACUAGGCAGCGCGCGGCGGGCGGCUUCGAGGUUGUAAGCUGGGAGUUCCCUCUCUUUGCCGGCUUUCUGAAAGGCAGUGUGUUCCAGCUCCUGGAGACAAGUGGAAAGCCAGCAAUUGAAGCGACAUUUUGGACACAAGGAAAGCACAAUUUAAAAACUCUCCUAAGCUAGAAAGAGAAGAUUCAGGUCAUGAAAAUCUCACAAGAUUCCACUCGAUUUUGCUGUGAACCUACAACUGCUCCAAAAAAUAAAGUUUACUAAAAAAGGAACAAAACAAUCUCAAAGGUCAAAAAACAUUUCUGACAACCUGCAUUAUACUAAGUACUGUGUUAUCAGAGAAAAAGACGUGGUCCUGCCUUCAAAGAGUCACAGUCCAGUGAGGGUGACAGACAAACACAUUAAAGCAUCAGAAUGUAGUGGGACACUGUGCUGUCUAGAAGACGGAGUGACACUUGGGUUUGGAUAUCCAGGAGAAGGGCAUUAUCCUGCCUGGAUUCCAGUGGACUCCUUCAAGAGUGACACAUUGUGAUAUUGUGAUUUAUAAGAAGAAAUAGAUAUUUGUUCGUCAUGUUUCUGAUACACAGCUCCUAAAACCCUUGGAAUUUCCUGUGAUGAAAGCAAUAAAGGUGUCUUGUUAUGUUAAUGGGGUGACUUUUGGACCGCACCUAAGGAUGGGGGCUGGUUGCCAAUGGAGCCAAUCAUGUGAUUGGAGGGUUGAAACUCUCAGUCUCACCCCUUGACCUCUGGGGGGGGGGCUGGAAUUUGAAUUCAAUCACCAGUAGCCAAUGAUUUAGUCAAUCAUGCCUAUGUAAUGAAGGUCCAUAAAGUCCCCAAAGGAUAGUUUCUGGAGAGCUUCCGGGUAUGUGAACACAUGGAGAUUCCAGGAGAGUGGUGAACUCAGCGAGGUCAUGGAAGCUCAGUGCCCUUCCUACAUACCUUACCCUAUGCACCUCUUCCAUCUGGCUGUUCCUGAGUUGUAUCAUUUUAUAAUAAACCAGUAAUCUAGUAA